UCCGAUAUGGUGUAACGGCUAACAUUGCCGCCUUUCAUGGCGUCUGACGUCAAGUACGCGGCAGCUCGGGGUUCGAUUCCCCGUAUCGGAA